AUUUAGGUAUCUUACUCUGUAUUUGUUCACGGUGGUCACCCCAGGGUCUCAGGACUCAAAUUGAGUGCUCUAUGGAUUAAACAGAAAAUGCAGUAUAAACAAGUGUUAUGUUGUCUUCAACAUGUUGGUAACUUACUCUGUAUUUGUUCACGGUGGUCACCCCAGGGUCUCAGGACUCAAAACGAGUGCUCUAUGGAUUGAACAUAAAAUGUAGUAUAAACAAGUGUUAUGUUUUUAAAUGCCACUAAUAAUGUGUUUCUGUUUUCUUUCUCAUUAUGCUAACAAACACUCUUUUACCCCUCAUGUUAGGUAGAUCAACACUCCAACCAUCUGCAUUAGGGACUGAAUAAAGGAUGCCCUCUGUAGCUGGGAAUGUUAGAUCAGGCGGAUCAACAUUCCAUCCAUCUGCAUUAGGAUCUACCUUAGAGACACUCACUGGAGCUGUAAAUGGGAAGCAGGUCACUUACUUUGCAUUCGUCCUUGGUGGUCACCCAAGGGUCUCUAGAGUGAAAAUUACUCAAUCUAUGGAUUAAACAGAAAAUUUAGUUGUAUGAAGUGCAAUUUGGGACAUUCUUCCAGUUGUCGGCAACUUUGUGAAAAAGGCUGGAAACUUAAAUGCAGAAUUCUGGCCUGGUGUUUGGUCUGUGCUGUCUUUGGCUCUUGCAUCUCCAUCAUCCUGACCCUCUUUAGCAGCCUGUCCAUGUAUUUAUUUGGAGGCCACCAUGAGCACCCAUCUGCAUAAUAUGACUUUGUUACU